GGCCCGGUGGGGCGGCAGCCGCGGCUACGGCGGCCGGUGCGGGACAUGGCGCGGCGCCGCCACCGCCCGCUGCUGCUGCCGCCGCUCCUGCCGCCCCUCCCGGCGCUGCUGCUCGGGCUCGGCCCGGUGCUGCUCGGAGCCGCCGCCGCCUUCAACCUGGACCGCACCUUCCCCGUCCUCAAGGAGGGGGGCCCCGCCGGCGCCUUGUUCGGCUUCUCGGUGGCGCUGCACCGGCAGACGGAGCGGAGGGAGCGCAGCUUGCUGCUGGUGGGGGCCCCCCGAGACGCGGAGCCCGUGAACGGGACCCGGACGGGCGCCGUCUACGCCUGUCCCCUCACCGCCUCCACCCGCGACUGCCAGCGCCUCGACAUCGAGCUCAAGGAUGAACCGGACAAGGCCAUCAUCGAUGACAUGUGGCUGGGGGUGACGGUGGCCAGCCAGCGGCAGCCGGCGGGGAGGGUGCUGGCCUGUGCCCACCGCUACACCAAGGUGCUGUGGUCGGGCAGCGAGGACCAGCGGCGCAUGGUGGGCCGGUGCUACGUGCGGGGCAACGACCUGCGGCUGGACCUGAGCGACGAGUGGCAGACGUACCACCACGAGAUGUGCAACGCCAACACCGACAGCGACGAGACCGGCAUGUGCCAGAUGGGCACCAGCGCCGGCUUCACCGCCAACAUCAUCUACUUCGGCGCGCCCGGCGCCUACAACUGGCAGGGCACUGACUACAUGUUGCAGCGGGAGAUGUGGGACCUGCACGACUUCUCCUUCCCCAACCAGAAGAACGGCAACACCUACAUAGGGUACACGGCCGAGGUGGGCAGCGCGGUGCUGCAGCAGGACGCGGUGACCAUGGUGACGGGCGCCCCCCGGUACCAGCACACGGGCGCCGUGUACCUGCUGAGCCGCAGCCCCCAGCAGAGCCUGCACAGGAGCCUCCUGCUCCCCGGCCCGCAGGUCGGCUCCUACUUCGGCAGCGCCAUCGCCCUGGCAGACCUCAACAACGACGGGUGGCAGGACCUGGUGGUGGGGGCUCCCUACUACUUCGAGAGGAAGCAGGAGGUGGGGGGCGCGGUGUACGUGUACAUGAACGAGGUGGGGGGCUUCCAGCUGCACCCCAGCCUGGUCCUCACCGGCCCCAGCUACUCCGGGUUCGGCUUCGCCCUGGCCAGCAUUGGGGAUGUCAACCAGGAUGGAUUCCAGGAUAUUGCUGUGGGGGCUCCUUUUGAGGGGUAUGGGAAGGUCUACAUCUACCACAGCAGUGCUGAGGGGCUGCAGGACAAACCCCGGCAGGUGAUCAGUGGGUCAGACCUGGGCCCCACCAAAAUAAAGACCUUUGGGUACUCGCUGAGUGGGGGGCUGGACGUGGACGACAAUUCCUACCCGGAUCUCCUGGUGGGCAGCUUGAACGAGCGGAUCGUCCUGCUCAGAGCUCGCCCCGUGAUCAACAUCCUGGACAAGACCUUCACGGUGACCCCCAGCAAGGUGGACCCCGCUCAGUGCACACAGAAGUCCUGCAUCACGGUGACCCUCUGCUUCUCCUACAACCAGAGCGCGGGGGACCCCAAGUACCAGGAGAGGAUCACCCUGGAGUACACGCUGGAGGCGGACAAGGACCGGCACCCGCCCAGGGUGAGGUUCGCGGGGUCCCCGUCUGCCACCUACACCGGCAGCUUCACCAUGCCCGACACCCGCUGCCAGGCCCAGGAGCUCCUGCUGCUGGACAACAUCCGGGACAAGCUGCACCCCAUCGUGCUCUCCAUGAACUACUCGCUGCAGGAGAAGCCCAGAACAUUCCAGCUGGGCCCCCACUCCCUCGACUCCUUCCCUGUCCUCAACCAGGACCAGUCCCACGAGAACGAGACCAAGAUCGAGUUCCAGAAGGAAUGUGGCUCCGACAACGAGUGCUACAGCAACCUCCAGCUCCAGAGCAGCUUCGUCACCGACCAGAACCAGCCCCUGCCCAGGCUGAACGGGACCCAGGUGCUGCAGUACAGCCGGGAUGUGAGGAAGCUCUACCUGAGCAUCAACAUCACCAACACCCCCACCACCCCCUCCAACGGCGAGGACGCCCACGAGGCCCUGCUGAACGUCACCGUGCCCCCCAGCCUGCUGCCCUCCUCCGUCCGCCCAAGCGGAGCCUGCACGUUCGGGGAGACGGUGCUGUGCGAGCUGGGAAACCCUUUUAAGAGGAACCAGAGGGCAGAGCUGAUCAUCACCUUCGAGGCCAUUGGGAUCAUGCUGGACACACGGGAGGUCUUGGUGUGGCUGGAUCUGUCCACGCAGAGCACCCAGGAGGACCUGCAGCCUGUGCUCGUCAAGCUGCUGGUGGACUACAGCAUCCAGUCCUCACUGAGCAUAGCCUCCUCCCAUGUCCAGUCCUACUUCAGUGGGGUGGUGGUGGGCGAGUCAGCCAUGAAGCAGGAGCAGGACGUGGGCAGCCCCCUCACCUUCGACUUCCAGGUGACCACCAAGGGUGAGUCCCUGGGCUCCUUGGGCACCAUCCUGCUGGGGUUUGAGUGGCCCUACGAGAUCCCCAAUGGUAAAUGGCUCCUCUACCCCACCGAGAUCCUGGUCAAUGGCAACGAGAGCUGCCAGCCCCCCGGGGGGGUCAUCAACCCCCUCAACCUCACCCUCCUGCAGGACCAGGCUCCCUCCCGGCAGAGACGGGAGCUGGAGCCCCCCGAGCCAGCAGAGCCCCCCAUCACCUUGGCCACCGCCAAGAAAGCCAAGUCAGAGACGGUGCUGAGCUGCUCCGAGGGCACCGCGCGCUGUGUGUGGUUCGAGUGCCCCCUGCUCCACACCCAGCACCCCAACACCUUCACCCUGCGGGCCCGAGUCUGGAACAGCACCUUCAUCGAGGAGUUCCGGGACUUUGACCGGGUGAAGGUGACGGGCACCGCGACGCUGUUCCUGCGCUCCCACGUCCCCACCAUCACCAUGAGGAACCACACCGUGCGGUUCUCCGUGGACGUGGACUCGGAACUGCAGGAGGAGCAGCCGGCCGAGAUCGCGCUGUGGCUGGUGCUGGUGUCGGUGGCAGCCGGGCUGCUGCUGCUGGGGAUCAUCAUCCUCCUCCUCUGGAAGUGCGGGUUCUUCCGGCGGGCCAACACCCGGGCCAUGUACGAGGCCAAGGGGCAGAAGGCGGAGAUGAGGAUCCAGCCGUCGGAAACCGAGCGGCUGACGGACGACUACUAAUGGGGGGGGCACCCCCACUGCCCCCCCGGGGCCCCUGCGCCGCCCGCUUGUGUGACUUCUUCCAGCGGACCCGCUACUACCGGAUCAUGCCCAAGUACCACGCGGUGAGGAUCCGGCAGGAGCAGCGCUACCAGCCCGGGGGGCUCCUGCCCCGUCGCCGCAAGAAGCACUGGGUGACCAAGUGGCAGGAGCCGGAGAAGUACUACUGACCCCCUGACCCCCCCCAGACCCUCAGGGGACUCUGACUUUGCACAAGUGCAUCUCCCCCCCCGCCCCUUCCCCGAUCCCCCCCUCUUCAGAUGUGGCUGCAAUCCAGCGUUGGCUUCUGCACCUUCCUCUUGCACGUUCGUGCCUUGCACGCUGAGGGGGGAGACCCCUCAAAUGUGCCCCCCCUUCCUCCUGUCGUGUUUCCCCAGGUGCUGCUGGGCUCACCGAGUGCCUUCACACUCCUCUCGUGUGUCCCAGACACACGUCCUGGCACGUGGGGACACGUCCUCACCCGCCAGGACCCGCUCGCCCCCCUCCCCUCAUCGCUGGGUGUGGGACCCUCUGCUUUCACCCCCGGGCUGGGGCCUUUGGGAGCUCAUUCCUUCCUCUUCCUCCUCCCCCGUGUGUUCACCCCGUGUUCGGACGCAGCUUUGGCUUUGGGGGGUACGGAGCAUCAGGCCGUGUGUCCCCCCUGUCCCCCUCGCCCCCCACCCCCGCGGGGGGUUAAGUUAUUCCAUGUCUCUCGUCGGUGUUUUGGUGUUGAGUCCCAGCGUCCCGUCGGUACUUGGGGGUGAGUGGGGAGGAGGGGGUCCUGCGCCCCCCCAGCCCCUGCUCGACCCCCCCUCAUUCCCUCCCCACCGGGGCCAAAUAAAGCCUCGCUCUGUGAUUUGUAA